UAUUUAUUUUAUUAUAUUUAUUUUUUGUUUAUUUAAUUAUUUAAUAAAAAUAAUUUUGUUGAAUUUUGUCUUAGUAUAUUUUGUAGAAUUGAUUUUUUAUAUUAUAGUUUAUUGGUAAUGUAAUUGUUUUAUGAAAUAUUAUUUUAAAUUUUUAAAAGUAGAUUUUAUUUAUUGUACCUUUUGUAUCAGGGUUUAUCAAAAUUUUAGUAUUUACUUUACUUGUCUCGAUUUGGGUUGAUUUAUAAAUAAUUUAUAGUUAAUGUAUCAUAAUUCUUAUUAAAUUAUUUAUAGAAAUGAGAUGUUAACCGUUUCCCAAGAUAUCUAGUUUCUUAAGAAAAAAUUUAAUUUUUUAAAGUUAAUUGUUUUUAUUUAAUUUUUUAAGUAUAAAUAUUAACUUAUUUAUUCUUUAAGGGAUAAGCUUUGAAGUUAAUAACCUAUAAUUUGUUUUAAUAAAAUAUAAUAGUAAGCUUUAAACCAGCUAUCUUUAAGAUUACGUUUUAGUUCAUUAUUUUUAUUUUUGAUUUUAUAACUAUUUUAGGUUUUUUAUUAAGAUUAUAAAUUUAAUUUUUAAAUUUUUGUAAUAAUGAUAGAAUUAGUAUAUUUAUUUGUAUAUAAUUUUUACCUGGUUAAUUUAUUAUAAGGAACUAGGC
rnacentral:rRNA from 1 species